GACGAACGCUGGCGGCGUGCUUAACACAUGCAAGUCGAACGGAAAGGCCCUGCUUUUGCGGGGCGCUCGAGUGCCGAACGGGUGAGUAACACGUGAGUAACCUGCCCUUGACUUUGGGAUAACUUCAGGAAACUGGGGAUCAUACCGGAUAUGAUCUCCUGCUGCAUGGUGGGGGUUAGAAAGUUUCGGCGGUUUGGGAUGGACUCGCGGCUUAUCAGCUUGUUGGUGGGGUAGUGGCUUACCAAGGCUUUGACGGGUAGCCGGCCUGCGAGGGUGACCGGCCACAUUGGGACUGAGGUACGGCCCAGACUCCUACGGGAGGCAGCAGUGGGGAAUAUUGCACAAUGGGCGGAAGCCUGAUGCAGCAACGCCGCGUGCGGGAUGACGGCCUUCGGGUUGUAAACCGCUUUCGCCUGUGACGAAGCGUGAGUGACGGUAAUGGGUAAAGAAGCACCGGCUAACUACGUG
rnacentral:rRNA from 1 species